AGAGCGACGCUAUCGGGGACAGGAGACCGCUUACUCGGGUCGACGUCCGUUUCUCACCUCCGUUUCCGAGCGAUCCGGCCGGCCGGGGGCGCUCCGGUCGCCGCCGGUGUGGGCCACGCAUGGCCUCAGUCUGAACCCGAGGAAAACAGGGAAAGCGUCGCGUGUACGUACGAGCAGCCGUGGUGCUGAUUCUAGAUGCGCAUGAACAUGGGAAGUACUGUUGGAUACUGACGAGCAGUCCAGCCUUACCAGAGUUCAG
rnacentral:lncRNA from 1 species